rnacentral:rRNA from 1 species
UACGUAGGAGGCGAGCGUUGUCCGGAGUUACUGGGCGUAAAGGGUGCGCAGGCGGCCAUUGAAGUUUGCGGUGAAAUCUCCCGGCUUACCUGGGAGGGUGCCGUGAAAACUGGAUGGCUUGAGGCUCGGGGAGGGGCGUGGAAUUCCGGGUGGAGCGGUGAAAUGCGUAGAGAUCCGGAGGAACACCGGUGGUGUAAACGGCUUUCUGGACCAUAACUGACGCUGAGGCACGAAAGCGUGGGUAGCAAACAGG